AUUGAACGCUGGCGGCAGGCUUAACACAUGCAAGUCGAGCGGGGUGAUGGUGCUUGCACUAUCACUUAGCGGCGGACGGGUGAGUAAUGCUUAGGAAUCUGCCUAUUAGUGGGGGACAACAUCUCGAAAGGGAUGCUAAUACCGCAUACGUCCUACGGGAGAAAGCAGGGGAUCACUUGUGACCUUGCGCUAAUAGAUGAGCCUAAGUCGGAUUAGCUAGUUGGUGGGGUAAAGGCCUACCAAGGCGACGAUCUGUAGCGGGUCUGAGAGGAUGAUCCGCCACACGGGGACUGAGAGACGGCGCGGACUCCUACGGGAGGCAGCAGUGGGGAAUAUUGGACAAUGGGGGGAACCCUGAUCCAGCCAUGCCGCGUGUGUGAAGAAGGCCUUAUGGUUGUAAAGCACUUUAAGCGAGGAGGAGGCUCUUUUGGUUAAUACCCAAGAUGAGUGGACGUUACUCGCAGAAUAAGCACCGGCUAACUCUGUGCCAGCCGCCGCCGUAA
rnacentral:rRNA from 1 species